rnacentral:rRNA from 1 species
GAUGAACGCUGGCGGCGUGCCUAACACAUGCAAGUCGAGCGAACAGACUAGGAGGUUGCUCCUCUGACGUUACCGACGGACGGGUGAGUAACCCGUGGAUUACCUACCUAUAAGACUGGCAUAACUUCGGGAAACCGGAGCUAAUACCGGAAAAUAUAUUGAACCGCAUGGUUAAAUCGCGUAAGACGGUGUUGCUGUCACUGAUAGAUGGAUCCGCGCCGCAUUGGCAAGUUGGUAAGGUAACGGCUUACCAAGGCGACGAUGCUUAGCCGACCUGAAAGGGUGGUAGGCCACACUGGAACUGAGACACGUUCCAGACUCCUACGGGAGGCAGCAGUAGGGAAUCCUCCGCGAUGGGCGAAAGGCUGACGGAGGAACGCCGGGUGAGGGAUGAAGGUCUUCGGACCGUAAAACUCUGUAAUCAGGGAAGUAGAAAUGUGUUUGUAACUAGGCACAUAUUGACGGUACCUAAUGAGAAAGCCACGGCUAACUACGUG